rnacentral:lncRNA from 1 species
AGUCAGCCCCUGGGGCCGCCCGGGGAGCUGGGAUGCAGCGCGGGCCACGUGCGCCCGGCAGUACUUAGGUGGUGGCGGCCGGCAGGCGGUGGGGGAGACCUUCCGUGAACUGGCCUUUGCUCCGCCGAGACGACCACCCCUUAGCCGCAGGGGCGCCCGGUGUUUUUCUGCUUUGAUUUCUGAGGCUACUGACGCCCCGAGCGGAGCCGGCAUCUCCAGACCAGGCCGUGGAGCUGCAGCGAGAAGAAUGUGCCUGCUUUGGCUGUGGAUCGCGAGCGCCCGGGCCGCAAAGAUUCAGGGAGAGGUGGGGACGACACGUCAAAGACAUUAUGAGGAAGAAGAUGAAACUCAAAGGUAAGAUUUAUAAACAUAUGCUCCCUGCUCUUAGAUUAAGUGUCCCUGAAGACUUCAACCUAAAGUGGAUCCCUGUAAGUCAAAAUCCUGAUCUUGCACAUGCUGAUGUCUUCUAUUUGGAUACCAGUGGGAAUUGUUAAGUGACUAUGUAAAUCUGACGACAGUGAAGCACAAGCAUUUAUUUGAGAGUGCUGACUAGGGGGAGGUGCAAAAUGUGAAGUAGUAACAAAUGAAAACUGCCUGUAGACAGAGAGGAAUGACAAGGAUACAUUCAGGCAUGUACUGAAGUCAUAAAAUGUAAGUACACUGUACAAAUAAUACACAUUCUGAGGCCUGGAUUCAAAUCCUAUCAGUGACAAUUAUAAUUGUGUAAUCUAGGUGAAGUCACUUACCCUUUCUGUCUUGUCCCCACAGUGCUACCUUAUGGGGUUGUUGCAAGAAUUAAAUGAAAUGAUAUGUGCAAAUAGUGCCUGGACACAAUGAGCUCAGUAUAAAUGUUAGUCAUUGGUACCACCCCAUCAUUAUUAUUGUUGUUUUGGAGAAUUACAUGAGCAAGGGCAAGAGGGCAUGUAGAAUGUGUAAAGCACCAACAGGGAAGGUCUCCUUGAGACCCGGUGGAAUCUGAGUUGGGCUUUUAAGUAUAGAACUUAUAAUGAUGGAACUAGGCAGUGAUUCUGGGUGUAGGAAAUAGAAUGAAGCAAAGUUCACAGAAAAAAAAAAGUUGGAGAUGUGAGGAAGUCAAGUGGCAGGUAUGAUGUUUUGGGAUGGUAGUGAUAAGGCUAGAAGGGAAAACAAUCUCAGGGUCUGGCAGCUAUUUAGAUGUGGCAAAUGAGGGAGAACGAGGGGACACGUAUAACCUAAAUAUAAGUUGGGCAUCCAAAUGGCUCAGUCUCAAAGCAUCAAUGAACUGAUAAACAGUCUAGCAACCAAAACUAUUUUAAAACCAAUUCAAAAUUUUGCUUGCCAUUCUUCAAGAACAUUAAAAAGCAAAAGUUUUAGGAACAAUUCUUAAAUUUCCCUUUCCUCUCCUAAUUCUUACAUUUCAUCAGCUCUGGUACUUGUCACUCUCUUAACCCUUCACUUUCCAUUUCUUCUGUUCUAAAAUGGACAUGAAGCCCUUGUCUCUUUUCGUUUCCUUUCCUCUUUUCCUCCUUUCCUUCUGCCUCUUCAGUCUUCUCUCUUCUUAUCCAUACCCCUCAUUUUGAAUCAUGAAACCUAGAGACCAUCCUGGAAAAGGCGGGAAUUUCCUUAGAGGUCAGGCUUAGCAAAGCCAUCAAAGAUAAUAUUCUCUUCAUGGUGCGUGGUAGAGGGGUUUAUGUUGUGGCAGAGAGGUUCUAUGUGAACACUCUCAUGUUAAUACAUUUUUAAAUCAUCAAAGAUAAGAGUAAUAUUUUGAGCCUUGGUGAUGGGAUAAUGGGGGAUAUGUCAUUACAGAAAUAGGGAAACCAAGGAAUGGAAGACCUUUGGGGGCAAGAUGUGGAGACUGGAACUGAGCAUGGAUUGGAGCUACAGUAUCAUUCAAGGAAUAAGUAGACAGAAACCUGGACAAAUUGAUUGGGAAUUCAGAUAGAUUUGGGCAUUAUCCCCACAGGAGUGAUAGUUGAAGGUAUAGGAACGAGUGAGAAGAGAAAUAUAGAGGACAUAAAGAGAAAGAUGAGAGUUAAGGAUGGAAGUGUGGAAAAUACCUACAUUUCAGGAUAGAAGUUAAUAAGUGAAUUCAGGGAAGAAUAGUCCUGGUGUCUAGGACUCACACAGAUGAAUUCCACCAGAAUCUCUGGAAGUGGGCUUUAUGAAUUAACAUUGUUGACACCUUCCUCAGCAAUUCCAUGUGCAGCCAGGUUGAGAGCCACUGCUCUGGUGGUUAUGUGAUGCUUAAUGGUUUUCAGGGUUGUGGGGGAAAGCAGUUGGUAAGGAAUGAAGUCCUAGUUUUUUGGAUUUAGAAGCCAGAAACUCUACCAUUCUCAUUUUGCUGAGGAACCCAGGGCACCAAGAGACUAACUGUGUGACCUUGAACAAGAAACUGAAUGGCUUCCCACCUCAUGCUUACCUCUCAGUGCCACAGACACACUCCUCUCCCUCAUCCUCACCUGCUCCUCCCCACCACAGCCCAAGUCCUGCCCUGAGACUCCCAAGGCUGGGCAAUCUGCCAAAGGCUCUCCAUUCAGAAAUUUUUUUUUUUAUUAAAGUGUGGUGGAUUUACAAUGUUGUGCCACUUUCUGCUGCACGGCAAGGCAGAUUUUUUUUUUUAACUUUUUAGGAAAAAAGGGUCUUUUUGGCUGUGCCCAUGGCAUGUGGAAGUUCCCGGGCUAGGAAUCGAACCCGCCUGAGCCAUAGCAAUGACAAUGCCAGAUCCUUGACCCUCUGAGCCACCAGGGAAUUCCAAGAUUUUAGAACACCUUUCUGACAGAUUAAAGGCUCACCUGAGGUCUCUUCAGCAGCAGCAGACAAGACCACGCUAUCGGAGGAAACCCAUUAAGAGGGUUUCUCAUAGCUUUGUGAGCCUGGAGAGAAGGUUAACCACUAGAGAAAAUGGCAGGGGGGAUCCUUUAUUUUGGGGUACUGGAGAAGCCCUGGCUUCUAGCACCCUCCCCUCCUCUCAGGCUCUGGCAGCCCCCUCCGUGCUGUUUAUGAAUUGGCGUCGAAGUCUGGGGCUGCCGUGGUAAGGCUGCCAGCGCUGACGAGGACGCAGCAUUUGUGGGAAUUCUGUGACUCCAGAAGGCGAAAGGUCAGUUUCUUUUCAUUGACAGUAUUCUUGCUGCCCAAGGGUUUAUCUCUGGGAAUCUUGACUGGUUUCCAGGGUUAGGCUUCACCUCUAUUGUUAUAUGGAAACACAGGAACAGCCCUGUUGUCGUGCCAGACUGGGUUCGACAUUGGACUCCAUUCCCCACGGCACUGUAGUCCCGCACCCCCCCCCCCCCCCCCCCCCCCCCCCGCCCCAAGUAAAGUCCUGCCGUCUUCCAAAAUAGCUGAAGAGGCUUUUUAAAGAUACACAAACCUGUUCAUGUGCCUCUCCUUUUUUCUUUCUUUCUUUCUUUCUUUCUUUCUUUCUUUCUUCCUGGGCUCUACAAAGUCACCCAUGAAUAUGAUCCAACAUUGGAAUGUACCCUGGAGCUUGAGGACACGCCUGACAUCCCCUGAAAACACUUGUCUUUCACUCAUCCUCAUACACUGAAAAGAUGCGCACAUGUAACCCCUGAACUCACACACGACUCCACCAGUUCCUGGUCACACUAAAAAUCCAUUUGAGUUACACAUGUGCUUGCUUACCCCUGGCUCCCACACGCCCACCUGGAGGUGUGUAUACACAGCGCUGAUGUCUGUGAUCACCGCUGCGCUGAAAACACACCUUUAGGUGCCUAAGAAACAAAUGGCAAGAGCGAAGGGAAACAGGACAGCGGAAAGAAUGGCCCUGCUCCAUCCACUUCUGUCCUGAAGCAAAGCAACCUGGAUCUUUUGGGCUAACUUGUGUGCUGGGAACCCAGUGCAGACUUUUACAACAGGCCCUGAUCUGAGUGCAAGCCUCAGAGGAGCAGUCUCCUCCCCAGCCACGUCUGUCUGCUGGGUUCCUCCAGCUGUCUCCAGGGCAGUUCUCCCUAAAUGCAAACUAUUAGCAUUUCCUGUUAAAACAUUUCUAAUAAAUAAAUGAAUACAUCAUCUUCUCAACCCAAAGCAGGUCUGAAAGCAGCCUAGGAGCUCCUCUGAGCUAAGGACGGACAUGGACCACCCAGCACCAGCCCACUGGCCCGGGGCCAGUGCUGCUUUUGUUUGAAUUCCUGUAUGAGUAACUGCUCAAGUUGAUGCCAGCCAAACUCAGUGAAAUAUUAUUUUUAAUAUUAAAUAAAUAGAUGGUGGGGUGUGUUGAUCUUUUUUUUCCCCCAGUAAACUGCAGCAUCACAACAUAGAAACUGGCUCUUGUAUCCAGAUUUCCUCAGAUAGCAGAAGGAAGGUUGACAUUCUCUUUGACCUUCCUCAUGGAACUCUUACCCCCCAGGAGACAGAAAAGUCCCAGUUGGUGUUGACAGGACCCUAUUUGGAGUAAGCUGGGAGUUCAAAUGCUAACAAAACUUGUAUGGGUUCACCAGCCAUUUUUGUUAAUUUUUUCUAACUUAUUGUUUUCUUUCAAUAACAGAAGGCACAUGAACUUUAUAUAAAAAGUAGAAAGCACAGAUAAACAAGAAGCUGCUGAGAUCUUACGACCCAGUAAGAGACAAUUACUCCUAAAUUUUGGUCCCCUUCUUGAAGGUCUGCCAUGCUUUGUGUUAUUCUUCAAAAUCAGUCUUUGACAAUUUGCUGGAUAAAUAAAAGAAAGGAAGAAAAAAAAGAAAGAAAGAAAGAAAAAAAGAACCACCAGCCUUAAACAUUUAACACUAGAGGUGAGCAGUAUAGGAUAGGACUUUUGCACGUCUGCGUCUUUUUCACAACACGUCUUUUGCCAUGUUGGGCACUGAAGGGGACAGACUGAAGAGAGACCAGUGAUGGCUUCGGAAAGGCUCAGAUGAGUGAGAAGAUGCCUUGACAUCAGAGCAUCUCUUGGGCCUGGUGCAUGGUGGAACACACCUUAGGAAAUGCAGUCUGAUGUCAUAGCGGAAAAUGAUCUUCACGCUGUUCAUGGAGACCAAUGCUGGGCUGUCAGGUUGACCAGUAACAUCCCCAAAUUUUCUGCGAUUUUAGCAAGUGGGUCCAGAAUUUGAUAACACAUCAACAAAAGAAGAAAUCUAUGUCAUCCAGCCCAAUCUUCAACAUUCUCUAUGAGUCCCAGAAAGGGUGUGUGCCUUACCUUAGGUCACACAGCUACUAAUGGUCGAGUGAAUCUCAAGCACUUAACAAUAUCAAGCUCGCUGUUCAUAGCCAGCAUCAAGAACGAUAUUUUAGGAACCUGAGAUUCUUUUUCAUAAAAACCUGCCUUGAUUUGCUCUACAUGGGGCUACUACUCUUUCACAAGGUGCCCAAAUCACCUUUCCUGCCUUGUUAUCUUUUAAAGUCAGUGAGAUUUCUGAAUCAGGAACAGAAUCCUUUCGAUCUCUGCCAUUGACUCUCUUAUCAGAACAACUGACAGACACAGUUCAGUUGACCUAUUCAAGAUCUGCUGGAUCUUUCUCCUCUGUGGCUUGCAGGGAAGGAUGUAAGAAGCAGUGGGAGAGCAGGUAUCAGGAGAGGAGGACCCUGAUAGAAAAAGGAGACAGAUGGAGGCUUAGCUGGCUGCAUGCUGAACUGAGCACCUCUCUGGCAGGAGAGAAGGGAGCUGGGUCCCUGACUGUUUACUUCCAUGGAAGUUCACCUGAAUUCUGCUCCUGGGACAGAAUGGGAUAUUCCCGCCCAAUUCUGGCUGUGCACAUUUCUUCCCAAGAACCUCCGUCUCUGCCCUAUCUAUAUAUGGAAACACAUCUGACAACAGCAGCAGACAAGAAAGAUUUUUGUUCUCUCAGAACGCAGAAAAAUUCUCCGUCAGCAGCCGUUUUUUUCAGUGUUUGGUGCAUUGAUGUGUGGGCUACAUAGACUAUUUUAAAGUCAUAUUUGCCUUCAAGCAAUGGCAGCUUUGUAAACAGUAUGGACAUGGACAUAUGAGUCAGAUUCAGUUUAUAACCAAUGCUAAGGCAAUUCCAAAACUACUUUAUUGUAUAAAUAUUGUUCAGAAUU